rnacentral:misc_RNA from 1 species
GAUGAAGAACGCAGCGAAAUGCGAUAAGUAAUGCGAAUUGCAGAAUUCAGUGAGUCAUCGAAUCUUUGAACGCACAUUGCGCCCUGUGGUAUUCCGCAGGGCAUGCCUGUUCGAGCGUCAUUUCAACCCUCAAGCCCCGCUUGGUGUUGGGCCCCGCCCGCUGUGGCCGGCCCUAAAGACAGUGGCGGCGCCGCCUGGCCCUCAGCGUAGUACAUCUCUCGCUCCAGGGUCCGGUGGCCGCCUGCCAGAACCCCCCAACUCUGUGGUUGACCUCGGAUCAGGUAGGGAUACCCGCUGAACUUAAGCAUAUCAAUAAGCGGAGGA